rnacentral:rRNA from 1 species
GACGAACGCUGGCGGCGUGCCUAAUACAUGCAAGUAGAACGCUGAAGGAGGAGCUUGCUCUUCUGGAUGAGUUGCGAACGGGUGAGUAACGCGUAGGUAACCUGCCUGGUAGCGGGGGAUAACUAUUGGAAACGAUAGCUAAUACCGCAUAAUAGUAGAUGUUGCAUGAUAUUUACUUAAAAGGUGCAAUUGCACCACUACCAGAUGGACCUGCGUUGUAUUAGCUAGUUGGUGGGGUAACGGCUCACCAAGGCGACGAUACAUAGCCGACCUGAGAGGGUGAUCGGCCACACUGGGACUGAGACACGGCCCAGACUCCUACGGGAGGCAGCAGUAGGGAAUCUUCGGCAAUGGACGAAAGUCUGACCGAGCAACGCCGCGUGAGUGAAGAAGGUUGUCGGAUCGUAAAGCUCUGUUGUAAGAGAAGAACGAGUGUGAGAGUGGAAAGUUCACACUGUGACGGUAUCUUACCAGAAAGGGACGGCUAACUACGUG